AAAUGAUUCAAAUCAAAUAAAUAAAGGAAAGAUAUGAAGAAAAGGAAAGAAGAAGAGGGCUACUUCACAGUUCAAUCUAUUAUGUAGAACCUGUGCCCUAUAAACAACAACACCAAGUGGUUAGUAUCUUCUUGGUAAAUUUAGGUUGGUUUUAGUUAAAUCAUUUUGUUGUUUGUUUUCUUCCAAAUUUACUCCAUAUAUUUUUCUUCAUUUUCUACUCUGUUUUGCAUAUUGUAUAAGUAUACAAUACAUAAAUGUAUUCCAAGUCAAAUUUCCAUACAAACAAACCCUAAGCUUAUCUUUAAAUUUAAUUUUGCUAAACACUAACUUAAACAUAGGAGGUUCUAUGACAAGCACGACAUCAUUAUUUUCUUCUUGCAAAUCGUUUUCACUUUUUCAAAUUAUAAAUUUAUUGCUGAAGGUAUGUAAAGGUCAAUGAAUCCUCUUAUUCAGAUUUUGCCAUCAACUUACGCAUAUGGACAUUAGCUUCAAAUUACAUUUUUGUUAUUUUUUUUCUCUCUCUUUUCGUUAGCUUAAUAUGGGUUUCUUUCUAAUCAUAAAACUCGAACUAAUUACAUUUCACUGUGAUUGUUUUAUAAAAAAAAAAAAAACCAUAGAAAAAGAUGUUCAUAUAUAUAUAUAGUUAACAAAGAAGAAAAACUUUAUAUAGUUUCUUCUAUUCUCCUAACCCAUAUAUCUAUGGCUAACCUAAAAUGAAAAAAGAAAAAAAAAUGAAGCGAAACAAAAUUCAAGUUGCCCAGUUGGUAAGUUAGUGAUGCAUUAGGUUAUUCAUUAAGCUUAAUUAAUUAUAUAGUUUUGUUAUUGUAAGCAACUAAUUAACAAUACUACUAUAAACAUAGCUUUUUUAUUUUUUUUAUUUUAAACUAUGUUAUAUGUAUGAGAACAUGUUAGAAAUUAUUGUAUGUAUAUUUAUUUUCUUACGAUAAUGUAAUGGUUCCACCGCUCUAACACAAUAUUUCUUAACCCUAACUAAAAGAAUGAAAUUAGAUUGAGAUGCACGUGAAAGUCUCUAAUUCUUAUUAUAUUAUAUUAUAUUAUAUGGUUUUGCAUGAAGACCCAAUUACAAGAGCACACAUGAAUCAAUAAUUGUAAUAUAGUGUGGAAAAAUGUGUAGUGGGAAAGUUGGUCCAAUUGUAUACAAAAAAAAGAACAAAAGGCAUUUAAAUUUUAUGUUAUAUGAUUAAUAUAUGGAGGAAGGUAAGAAAAAAGUGAUGAUAAUUGAUAGGGACAAAAAUAUUAGAUUGAAUAAUUUAACAUAUAGUAGUACAUGAGAUGGCCCACACUAUUCAGAAAAGUUGUAAAACAAUAUACAUAGAAGAAAAAAGUUAGAAUAGGGACAAGACAUCUCAUUAAUAAGAGAUGGCCCUUAGAGUCAAUUUUCACUUAUUAAUAAAUAUGUUGCUAUUAUUUUAAAUAAAAAGAUUCAUGGAACUUGAAGUUUUGGGAGUUUCAAAUUAUGAAUAGCUCCCUUGAAAAACACACCUUAUCUAUCCAAUUUUAUUAUUGUUGUUUUCAUUUUCGAAUUAUAGAUUAUGCACUACUUGCAUUCCAAGCUUAAGAAUUUUAUAAAAUUUGUAAAAUAUAUAUUAUUUUCUAGUACCAUCUUUAAAGAAUUAUGUGUUUGCGUGUUUAAUUCCUUUUAAUGUAAUUUUAGAAAUGAGUUGUUUUGAAAUGUUUCAAAUGUUUCAACCAAUCCUAAAUUUUAGGUAUUAGAAAUUAAUUGAGAACAAAAUAAUUUAUAAAAUUUAAAUGAGUAUUUUCAAUCUUAAGGAGGUGUUUUACAUGGUGGAUAAAUAAAGUGUCUCACGGUUGAAUUAUUAUUAAUGAUGAAAGGCCCUUUAUGUAGGCAAUGAAUACAUAAAAAAUACAAAAGAUAUGUAGAGAGAUUAAAUUACAACUAUCGAGGAGUUAUAACAUAAUUGGUUAUUUUGUUACUCCCUGUCAAGAUGGAGUGAAAAUAUUGAUGAUUCCCAUCUUGGACAAUAUGUUUUGAAAGGUAGUAAUAGGCAACAGUUUAGUAAAGAUGGGGUUAUUUUGCAUUGGUUCGAAGUUGGUGGAAGAGUUUGUGGCUGAGCUAUUAGGAUAAGGAUAUCUCAUUUGAUGUGUUUGAUGGGUUUAGUAUGACUAGGUCAGGGAAUGGAUCUUGGAUUUCAGAGGCAUUACUGAUUUGAUGAAAUGGGAAUAGAUCUUCAUGGAAUAUGACAUCCCUUGAUAUGAAGAUUUUCUGGUGUUGAAUGUCAUACAGUUUUUGUAGCAUUUAACUUCUGGUGGAUAGCCUAUGAACAUAGAUGCAAUGGCACGAGGGUGAAAUUUGUCUCUAAAUUAUUGUAAAAUGGAUGCAAAGCAAAGGCAACCAAAGGUUUUUAGUGUGUUGUAGUUGGCAUUCGUGUCAUUAAGACUGUAUUAGGGCGUUUAACAUGACAGAAACUGAGAUGAGGUUCGAUUUAUUAAGUAGGCAACAAUAAAAACAUAUUCACCCACAAAAAGUCACAGGCAUUCGAGACUAAAAUAUUUAGGCUCACAUUACAUUUAGGAGGUGUUGAUGUUUUCUUUCAACAACAGCAUUUUGUUGUGGUCUUUCAACACAAGAAAAUUGGUGAACUACUUAUUUGAAAAGAAAAUAUUCCUCGAAGGAGAAUCCAGAGGCAUUGUUAGAUCUAAACGUUUUGAUGAUUCUUUUAUAUUGGGUUUGCACAUAUAUGUAAAAAAAAUUGGGGACUAUCUUCAAUGCAUCAUAUUUUCUUUUCAUAAAAAAAAAAAAAAAACCGUUAGAUCUCAAAUUAUUUAAUGAUUUGUAAUUUUAUUUGAGAGAUACGAUCACAUUUUGUAAUCGGUCAAAAUUUUCUUUUUUAAUAAUAUUAGUAUUUAUUAAUGUCAUAAUAUAUUGUUUAUAUUAAUUUCAUUUAAAGCAUUCUAUCUUCUUUAUGAUAAUUAGAAUAGACAUUUCCAUCUAUCAAAUUAAAAUUACGUACCCACUUUAUUUGACUAGGACACCCACCAAAACCACUUUGUAUUAUAGAAAAUUCAUUCCACCAUGUUUAUGUUAAAUUUCAUAUGAAUUUUAAUUCUUUUUUUUUUCAGCCUAAAUAUGUAUCAAUUUAAUUUAAACCUACUGUUAUAAGAG
rnacentral:lncRNA from 1 species